rnacentral:lncRNA from 1 species
UACCGUAGUUGACUUAUUAAAAUUAUAGAAAUACAUGUUAAAUACACCUUGACUGUAUAUUACUAGUAGUUGACUUAUUUAAAUAGCAACUAAUUAAUUAAAUAAUAUAAUAAUAACCCAAUUUGGAAAAAUACAUAAGAACUAAACAAAAUUAAGUAAUACAACAACAAAAUAUUGCAGAUCAAAUAAUAAAAUAAAAAACAAAUCAAAACCAGUAUCAGUACAAUCCAAUCCAACUUAGAAUAUUAAACUAAAAAAAAUAAAAAGGCUAAAACCCAAUUUGGAGAAAUACAUAAGAACUAAACAAAAUUAAGUAAUACAAUACCAAAAUAUUGCAGAUCAAAUAAUAAAAUUAAAAAACAAAUUAAAACCAAUAUCAGUAUAAUCCAAUCCAACUUAGAAUAAUAAACUAAAAAAUUAAAAAGACUAAAACCCAAUUUGGGGAAGAUGAGGACUGAAAAGAAAAGUUACAAAUUUCGACGGAUUUGAAGGGAAUUGAAUCCAUUUCCUUCCCCAUAAUUCCAGAUCUGAAUUUUGGGAUUCAUACAGAUUCAUACAUGGAAUCCAUUUGAAACGUCGAUGGAAGAUUCAUACAAAUUCGCAUCGUCAACUCCAAAACACGAGGAAAAUUUAGAUUCCAACACUGCCUAACCUCCGGCGCUCAUCUCCCAUGACAGAUCUGAAUUUUGGGAUGAGGAUGAAGGUAUGGGUUUGGAUUUUUGGUUCUUCCUCUGCUCAUGAGAUUUCUAAAAUUCUAGGUUUGAGUUUGGGUUUUUGGUUCCUCUUAGAGAGAGAAAAUGAAGUGAGUUUGAGAUUGGACAAAAUUUUGAAGAUGAUAAACGAAUUGGGGUUUUUAGUUUGAGAUUUUCGAGCUUCAUGAAUGGUUACAAGGGAAGAGGAUGAAUGAUUUGGGUAUUUUGAAUUUUGAAAUUUUUGGCGAGUUCAUGGUAAUGGGGAAGAUGAUGAAAAUGGAGAAGAAAAAGGAAAGAGAAAACAAAAUUAGGUUUGUAAAUUUGUAAUUUAUUAUCUUAG